AUAUGCAAGACUAAUUCCACUUGUGCAAGACCAAAAUAAAAUUUUCAAUGUAUAAAUACUAUAAUACCCUUACUUAUUAAAAAAAUAAAAAAUUCCAAAUAUGCAAGACCAAAUAUUCAAAAACACAAAAAACUCUAUUACAAGACCAUAAAACUACAAGACCAACUCUCAUCUUCUCCAUUUUCCAAAACCCACAAGACAUUUCUCCUUCCUCCUCCAUUAACCCACAAAACCUAGAAAUUCAAAAUCAUCAAAACUCAACAAAUCUUACAAAGAUGGCAAGUAUGGAGUCAGAAGACAUCAAAAUAGAAGAUUCUACGAUGGAAGAACCCAAGAAUGUAUACAUUUAUGGGUUUUUUAGCUAGAAUAUCGAUUUUCCAAAAAAAAUCUCGCGCAAACGAAUUCGACAUGUACAGGUCGAAUUUUACAGGUAAAAAUCGACAUUUAGAUGUCGAUUUUGAGGUACAAAAUUCGACAUUUAGAUGUCGAUUUUGAGGUAUAAAAUUCGACAUUUGAAUUUGUG
rnacentral:lncRNA from 1 species